rnacentral:rRNA from 1 species
GACGAACCGUGCGAACGUUAUUCGGAAUCACUGGGCUUAAAGGGCGCGUAGGCGGGUCGUCAAGUCAGGGGUGAAAUCCCGCGGCUCAACCGCGGAAGUGCCUUUGAUACUGACGGCCUCGAGGGAGGUAGGGGCGUGUGGAACUUCCGGUGGAGCGGUGAAAUGCGUAGAUAUCGGAAGGAACGCCGGUGGCGAAAGCG